UACAGAGACCUCAAGCGUUAUCCGGAAUCAUUGGGCGUAAAGCGUUCCGAUAGGUGGUUGAAAUAGUCUUGGGUAAAAGCCAGAAGCUCAACUUCUGAGUUUGCUUAAGAUACUUUUCGACUAGAGGGGCAAAGAGGUGCUUGGAACGAACGGUGUAGUAGUGAAAUGCGUUGAUAUCGUUCGGAACACCGAAAGCGAAGGCAGAGCACUGGGUGCCACCUGACACUGCUAGGACGAAAGCGUGGGGAGCGAAUGGG
rnacentral:rRNA from 2 species